AGAACGAACGCUGGCGGCAGGCUUAACACAUGCAAGUCGAGCGCCCCGCAAGGGGAGCGGCAGACAGGUGAGUAACGCGUGGGAACAUACCCUCCGGUUCGGAAUAGCUCAGGGAAACUUGGAUUAAUACCGGAUACGGCCUAGCGGCGAAAGAUUCAUCGCCGGAGGAUUGGCCCGCGUUCGAUUAGCUAGUUGGUGAGGUAACGGCUCACCAAGGCGACGAUCGAUAGCUGGUCUGAGAGGAUGAUCAGCCACACUGGGACUGAGAUACGGCCCAGACUCCUACGGGAGGCAGCAGUGGGGAAUAUUGGACAAUGGGCGAAAGCCUGAUCCAGCCAUGCCGCGUGUGUGAUGAAGGCCUUCGGGUUGUAAAGCACUUUCGCACGUGACGAUGAUGACGGUAACGUGAGAAGAGCCCCGGCUAACUUCGUGCCAGCAGCCGC
rnacentral:rRNA from 1 species